rnacentral:rRNA from 1 species
UACCAAUCGAUGAAGAACGUAGCUAGCUACGAUAAUCGGUGCGAAUUGCAGGACACGCCGAGCACUUGAGCUUCUAACGCACAUUGCGGCUUUCGGGUCUUUUCCGAGGUCACAUCUGUCUGAGAG